UCCCUGGUGGUCCAGUGGUUAAGACUCUGCACUUCCAAUGCAGGGGGCCUGGGUUCAAUCCCUGGUUCAAUUCCUGGUUGGGGAA